CAGCCGCCGCGGGAAUACGUAGGUGGCAAGCGUUGUCCGGAAUUAUUGGGCGUAAAGGGCUCGCAGGCGGUUUCUUAAGUCCGAUGUGAAAGCCCCCGGCUCAACCGGGGAGGGUCAUUGGAAACUGGGAAACUUGAGUGCAGAAGAGGAGAGUGGAAUUCCACGUGUAGCGGUGAAAUGCGUAGAGAUGUGGAGGAACACCAGUGGCGAAGGCGACUCUCUGGUCUGUAACUGACGCUGAGGAGCGAAAGCGUGGGGAGCGAACAGGAUUAGAUACCCCCGUAGUCCCUGUCUCUUAUAC
rnacentral:rRNA from 1 species